CUGCUUCCUUGGUUACCAGAUCUGGGCCUGGAUCAAACCACUUCAAUUCACUGAGCCUCUGUGAAGAGAAAAUAGAAAUUCUGCUUGUCUGCAUCUCUUCGGUGGGAGAAGGAUAAAACGAUUAUUGAGACGUGCUCUGUAAACGUUGCCCGUUACUAUCCACAUGUCUAAAUGAUGAGGCGAGAAAGGAAAGUGAUCUUUAUAUGCUUGUGUGGUAUGCUUCCUAAGAGAGCCUUAUGAGAAUAAGGAACCAGGGAUGGAAAAAGCAACCAUGAUCCAAUUUAGAAAGGUCAUUUUUAUAUCAGCGUAGCUUGGAAAGAGGUGAGGAAGGGCUAUUGAAGUAUUUCAGAUAAAAGGUAAGUGAG
rnacentral:lncRNA from 1 species